GUGCUCACUGAUGACAAAAAGACGCGUUAUUCUGAGGAAACAAACUGCCACCAGUCCUCUCCUCCUCUAUCUUUCUCUCCUCUUCUGCUCCUCUUCCUCGCACUGGUUGGUGGUCCUCUGACUGUGAUUAUGAGAUCUGAGGGCAU